UACGGAGGAUGCGAGCGUUAUCCGGAUUUACUGGGUGUAAAGGGAGAGUAGGUGGCAGAGCAAGUCCGAAGUGAAAACCCAAAGCUCAACUAUGGGAAUGCUUUAGAAACUGCUCAGCUAGAGUGCAGGAGAGGCAAGUGGAAUUCUUAGUGUAGCGGUGAAAUGCGUAGAUAUUAGGAGGAACACCAGUGGCGAAGGCGGCUUUCUGGACUGUAACUGACGCUGAGGCACGAAAGCGUGGGGAGCAA
rnacentral:rRNA from 1 species